rnacentral:lncRNA from 1 species
UAAAAAAAAUAAAUUUUUACUUUUCAUAUUUUAUUAUGAUAUAGUUGGAUAUACACAGCAUUUACUUCCAGCCCACAGACCUCAGUCAAGUUUGAUUUUUGGCCCUUCUGUGGCGGUGUGAAGAAAAUCCACCCUUUCCGUGCCCAUAUCGGGAUGUUAAACAAUUACCUGGAAAUUAUAAAAAGGAAGAAUUGCUGGGAAAACGGGGGGGGUAAAUGGUAAACUCGGACUCCAAGAGGCAGUUGAGCGAACCACACCAUGGAUGCGAGUCUUACCUGAGGAGGUGAUCGGCGGGAGUGAGACGCACGCUGUAUUUGGUCGGGGUGAGUGCGGAAAUGUAGAUCCACCGGCUGCAGAAAGUGUUACGAACUGCUGAAGGAACUCACAGGAUCACUACGACCACACAUUCGCGAUUCGCUCUAAGUGAACGAAUUCGUAUUACUGACCUUCAUUUCAUUUUCCUUUUUGUGUAAAUAUAACUUUUGUUGGUCAAGAGUAAUGAAUUAACUAAUCCUGUUUUUUUCUUUUCUUUUAUGGACCGCUGAUGAGUGUUUUAUUUAGAAGAGAAUGCUUCGGAUCUGCUGAUCUUGUUUAUUUGACUCAUGUGUCGGGAAAACUCAGUUCCUUUAGUUAUGUUUGUAUGAAAACCUUGUCGUUUGAAAUUGUUGUUUUUUUUAUUUACUUAUUUUUGUUGUUCGUUGUUUUUUUUUCUUCCCUGUGUUUAUAUGGGUCUGAUGUGUUUCCAGAAUUUUGUAUAAAGAGGGGAAAAAAAGAAUGAAUUCUUUCAAACUGCAAGCUGUUGUUGUCUUCCAUCAUUUAAUGUGCAAGCAAUCCAUUUAAUUAUUUUGUAACUGUGGUUUCAACAUCUCCCUGAGCUAUCACGGUAUUUUGAAAUUUUUUUGGUGACAGGCCAAAAUCCUGUCUGGUGCCCGAACUAUAAAAUAGAUACUUUUUUCCAAAAUUGUCACUAGGGCGCGCCACCGUUACAGAAGUGGCGCCCAAACAGGGACUUGAACUGAAACAUUUGACUAAAACCUGAACAUUUACGUUGGUUACUUGAACAUUUCACUGGAACUUGAACAUUUUUCACAUGCAUUAGAACAUUUCUCAUUUAAACUAAACAUUGUGGGUUUUCUAAUUACGGAGUACUUGAUGUUGUAUUUUGAAUGUGCUGUGUGAAAAAAAAAAAAAAAAAAAGUGAAAAUUGUUGGAAAUUGAGACUGUGGAACGUGUACUCUGUCCCUUUGUACUUUUUAUUUUAUUUUUUUCGUUCCUUGUUUACUUUUUAUUUUUAUUUUUUUAUUUACCUACCCCCCCCCCAUAGUCAAACAGACAUAGUCAUUCCAAGUUACUGAUCUCAUUUAAUGAUUAUUCACACAACAUGGACAAACAACACCAUAAAACCAUGGCCACUAUUCCUCCUUCACCGUCGACCUCUGUGGAAAUUGAACCACCCCCAGACAUAGCAACUCCAGUUUGGCCGACUGUGCAACCAAGACCCGUUCC